rnacentral:lncRNA from 1 species
GGAAUGUUUUCUUACUGCAAUGGUAAGCUAUUCUGAAUCCAUCUCAUAAUGUGGCUGCUCAUGUUUGGUGCAGUUGUAGCGCAUGGCAUGGCGAUGGUGGAGGAGAUAAAGUGUUGAGAAAAAGGACGGCGAUGCGAAGGGAAGAUGAUAGGGGAUUACUCGACAAGUAUGCGGAGGUGUUGUAAAGUUCCCUCCUUUAUGUAUAGUUAUUUCAUUAUCCAUCUAAAUAUCAAUUACAUGUAUAUGUAUGAAACUCAUUUUGCGCUGCUAAAUUUUCUGUAAAGAUUUAAAAUUAUGUGGUAUUAAACUUAUAGUGAUUGAAACAAAUGCAAAACUUGCAUGUUGAUUCAUCAUUUUUAUACUUUUGGUUUCAGCGGAUAGAUAUGAGAGGUUUAGCACUACUUCUUACUUAUAGAUCCAAAUGUGUUAUGGUCACCAGGGGCGAAAUUAGGUAUAGGGCAACUAGGGCUAUAGCCCUAGGCGUGGCCGAACUAACAUCUAUAGCCCAGUAGUAUACUUUUCAGAAUUUUUCACUUAUAGGAAGCCCAGCCCCUGGCGUGUAGGCCCCAAGCUCUGGCCCAUAAGUUUCUCCAUGACUCCACCACUCGCGUACUAGAUUUCUACCUCAUUAUGGUUGCAAACCCAACCCCAUUGCUACAGAAAAUAAAGCAAUGUUUUCAGAAUCGUUCGUCAUCUCGCGAGAUUAUUUUGUUCUGAUAGCUAAUUGCCUUUAUGUGAUUUAUGUGAAUUUCUUUGUAUGGAUUAGUUGAUAUGGUCAGUGGACAAACCGUUUGAGUUGCAAAAUCGUUUGAAAUUUGAAAUCUGCGGGUUGUAUAGAUACAACCGGAUAUGAUGUGUAUCAUGCAUAGCUGUCUUAGUUUUUUCUGUUAGCAUUAAUUAAUAUGUACUUAUUUUUUGCAGAAUUUUUUAUUAUAUUUUAUCUUCAGAUGAUGAGCAUAAUAAUGGAGAUGGUGCAUAUGAGGAUUUUUCUCUCCCGCUACAACAUAGUUUAUAUUCUGGGGUGCGGCAGUUCCGUUCGGUUGGCGGCGACUGCAAUGUAGUUAUCAGCAUGCUCUUUAUGUUACUGGAAACAUCAUUCUUGAUUAUUUCUCCUUGUGUUAUUGGUCACCAUCAUUGUUGAUUAUUUCCCCUUCUGUUCCGUUAUCCAAUAGAUAUUCUAUUAGUACAUGUAUAUUUGGGUGACAAAGGAGCAUGCCAUCCCUGAUUAAACCCCAAAUUGGCAAGAUAAGACGUUUAUAUCUGAAUCUUGUUUCAUAGAAUUAAUCAUUUGUUUAGUUUGAGAGAUUAAAUCCAAAUAAGUUUAUG